rnacentral:rRNA from 1 species
UUAAGUUAUUAAGGGCGCACGGUGGAUGCCUUGGCACUAGAAGCCGAUGAAGGACGUUACUAACGACGAUAUGCUUUGGGGAGCUGUAAGUAAGCUUUGAUCCAGAGAUUUCCGAAUGGGGAAACCCAGCAUGAGUUAUGUCAUGUUAUCGAUAUGUGAAUACAUAGCAUAUCAGAAGGCACACCCGGAGAACUGAAACAUCUUAGUACCCGGAGGAAGAGAAAGAAAAUUCGAUUCCCUUAGUAGCGGCGAGCGAAACGGGAAGAGCCCAAACCAACAAGCUUGCUUGUUGGGGUUGUAGGACACUCUAUACGGAGUUACAAAGGACGACAUUAGACGAAUCAUCUGGAAAGAUGAAUCAAAGAAGGUAAUAAUCCUGUAGUCGAAAAUGUUGUCUCUCUUGAGUGGAUCCUGAGUACGACGGAGCACGUGAAAUUCCGUCGGAAUCUGGGAGGACCAUCUCCUAAGGCUAAAUACUCUCUAGUGACCGAUAGUGAACCAGUACCGUGAGGGAAAGGUGAAAAGCACCCCGGAAGGGGAGUGAAAUAGAACCUGAAACCGUGUGCUUACAAGUAGUCAGAGCCCGUUAAUGGGUGAUGGCGUGCCUUUUGUAGAAUGAACCGGCGAGUUACGAUUUGAUGCAAGGUUAAGCAGUAAAUGUGGAGCCGUAGCGAAAGCGAGUCUGAAUAGGGCGUUUAGUAUUUGGUCGUAGACCCGAAACCAGGUGAUCUACCCUUGGUCAGGUUGAAGUUCAGGUAACACUGAAUGGAGGACCGAACCGACUUACGUUGAAAAGUGAGCGGAUGAACUGAGGGUAGCGGAGAAAUUCCAAUCGAACCUGGAGAUAGCUGGUUCUCUCCGAAAUAGCUUUAGGGCUAGCCUCAAGUGAUGAUUAUUGGAGGUAGAGCACUGUUUGGACGAGGGGCCCCUCUCGGGUUACCGAAUUCAGACAAACUCCGAAUGCCAAUUAAUUUAACUUGGGAGUCAGAACAUGGGUGAUAAGGUCCGUGUUCGAAAGGGAAACAGCCCAGACCACCAGCUAAGGUCCCAAAAUAUAUGUUAAGUGGAAAAGGAUGUGGCGUUGCCCAGACAACUAGGAUGUUGGCUUAGAAGCAGCCAUCAUUUAAAGAGUGCGUAAUAGCUCACUAGUCGAGUGACACUGCGCCGAAAAUGUACCGGGGCUAAACAUAUUACCGAAGCUGUGGAUUGUCCUUUGGACAAUGGUAGGAGAGCGUUCUAAGGGCGUUGAAGCAUGAUCGUAAGGACAUGUGGAGCGCUUAGAAGUGAGAAUGCCGGUGUGAGUAGCGAAAGACGGGUGAGAAUCCCGUCCACCGAUUGACUAAGGUUUCCAGAGGAAGGCUCGUCCGCUCUGGGUUAGUCGGGUCCUAAGCUGAGGCCGACAGGCGUAGGCGAUGGAUAACAGGUUGAUAUUCCUGUACCACCUAUAAUCGUUUUAAUCGAUGGGGGGACGCAGUAGGAUAGGCGAAGCGUGCGAUUGGAUUGCACGUCUAAGCAGUAAGGCUGAGUAUUAGGCAAAUCCGGUACUCGUUAAGGCUGAGCUGUGAUGGGGAGAAGACAUUGUGUCUUCGAGUCGUUGAUUUCACACUGCCGAGAAAAGCCUCUAGAUAGAAAAUAGGUGCCCGUACCGCAAACCGACACAGGUAGUCAAGAUGAGAAUUCUAAGGUGAGCGAGCGAACUCUCGUUAAGGAACUCGGCAAAAUGACCCCGUAACUUCGGGAGAAGGGGUGCUCUUUAGGGUUAACGCCCAGAAGAGCCGCAGUGAAUAGGCCCAAGCGACUGUUUAUCAAAAACACAGGUCUCUGCUAAACCGUAAGGUGAUGUAUAGGGGCUGACGCCUGCCCGGUGCUGGAAGGUUAAGAGGAGUGGUUAGCUUCUGCGAAGCUACGAAUCGAAGCCCCAGUAAACGGCGGCCGUAACUAUAACGGUCCUAAGGUAGCGAAAUUCCUUGUCGGGUAAGUUCCGACCCGCACGAAAGGCGUAACGAUUUGGGCACUGUCUCAACGAGAGACUCGGUGAAAUCAUAGUACCUGUGAAGAUGCAGGUUACCCGCGACAGGACGGAAAGACCCCGUGGAGCUUUACUGUAGCCUGAUAUUGAAAUUCGGCACAGCUUGUACAGGAUAGGUAGGAGCCUUUGAAACGUGAGCGCUAGCUUACGUGGAGGCGCUGGUGGGAUACUACCCUAGCUGUGUUGGCUUUCUAACCCGCACCACUUAUCGUGGUGGGAGACAGUGUCAGGCGGGCAGUUUGACUGGGGCGGUCGCCUCCUAAAAGGUAACGGAGGCGCUCAAAGGUUCCCUCAGAAUGGUUGGAAAUCAUUCAUAGAGUGUAAAGGCAUAAGGGAGCUUGACUGCGAGACCUACAAGUCGAGCAGGGUCGAAAGACGGACUUAGUGAUCCGGUGGUUCCGCAUGGAAGGGCCAUCGCUCAACGGAUAAAAGCUACCCCGGGGAUAACAGGCUUAUCUCCCCCAAGAGUUCACAUCGACGGGGAGGUUUGGCACCUCGAUGUCGGCUCAUCGCAUCCUGGGGCUGUAGUCGGUCCCAAGGGUUGGGCUGUUCGCCCAUUAAAGCGGUACGCGAGCUGGGUUCAGAACGUCGUGAGACAGUUCGGUCCCUAUCCGUCGUGGGCGUAGGAAAUUUGAGAGGAGCUGUCCUUAGUACGAGAGGACCGGGAUGGACAUACCUCUGGUGUACCAGUUGUCGUGCCAAC